GGGGGAGUAUCUGCUGACGGAAGGGCACCACCGAGCCUGCGGCGACUCGGGGAAACUUACCAGGUCCAGACAUAGUAAGGAUUGACAGACUGAGACGAGAUUCUAUGGGUGGUGGUGCAUGGCCGUUCUUAGUUGGUGGACGCGAAAUUCGUUAACGAACAGAGCCUGCUAACUGCUGCGGACUACCCUCCGCGGUAUAUUGAGACUACGUUUUCAAGACGCGAAUUUCAAUAACGUCUGUGAUGCCCGAUGUUCUGGCCGCACCGCGACUGAUGUAUUCAACGGCAUAUAGCGACAGGCCCGGGAACACUCGUGAGGGAUAGACAUUGGCCCGUCUUCAACACGUUCCUAGUAAGCGCGAGUCAUCAGCUCGCUGACUACGUACCCCCCCUUUGACACCGCCCGUCGCCUACCGUUUGUCCGUGAAUCAUCGCGGCGACGUGGGGUUCCGUGCACGUGAAGUCCACUGAACCUUAUCAUUUAGAGGAAGGAGAAGUCGUAACAAGGUUUCCGUAAACCUGCGGAAG
rnacentral:ncRNA from 1 species